rnacentral:rRNA from 1 species
UGCGGAGGGAGCUAGCGUUGUUCGGAAUUACUGGGCGUAAAGCGCACGUAGGCGGCGAUUCAAGUCAGAGGUGAAAGCCCGGGGCUCAACUCCGGAACUGCCUUUGAAACUAGAUUGCUAGAAUCUUGGAGAGGCGAGUAGAAUUCCGAGUGUAGAGGUGAAAUUCGUAGAUAUUCGGAAGAACACCAGUGGCGAAGGCGACUCGCUGGACAAGUAUUGACGCUGAGGUGCGAAAGCGUGGGGAGCAAACAGGAUUAAGAAACCUUGU